UACGUAGGGGGCAAGCGUUGUCCGGAAUCAUUGGGCGUAAAGCGCGCGUAGGCGGCUUGCUAAGUCAGAUGUGAAAUCCCUCGGCUCAACCGAGGACCUGCAUUUGAAACUGGUAGGCUAGAGUUCAGGAGAGGGAAGUGGAAUUCCUAGUGUAGCGGUGAAAUGCGCAGAUAUUAGGAAGAACACCGGUGGCGAAGGCGGCUUCCUGGACUGUAACUGACGCUGAGGUGCGAAAGCUAGGGGAGCGAACAGG
rnacentral:rRNA from 1 species